rnacentral:rRNA from 1 species
GUUUGAUCCUGGCUCAGAGCGAACGCUGGCGGCGUGCUUAACACAUGCAAGUCGAGUGCGCAGUUCUCUGUAGCAAUACAGGGGAUGGGCGCACGGCGCACGGGUGCGUAACACGUGGGCAAUCUGCCCUCGGAUGGGGGAUAACUCGCCGAAAGGCGAGCUAAUACCGCAUGACAUUCCGAAGACUCAGGUCUUUGGACUCAAAGGCCGCAAGGCCGUCUGAGGAGGAGCCCGCGCCCGAUUAGCUAGUUGGUGAGGUAACGGCUCACCAAGGCUUUGAUCGGUAGCCGGUCUGAGAGGAUGGCCGGCCACACUGGAACUGAGACACGGUCCAGACUCCUACGGGAGGCAGCAGUGGGGAAUAUUGCGCAAUGGGCGAAAGCCUGACGCAGCGACGCCGCGUGGGGGAUGAAGCUUCUCGGAGUGUAAA